ACUUAUUAAAUACAUCAACAAUUAUCUCCCUUACAUCGCGGAAAUUCGCUAUAAACAAACGAAUAUCACAGUACAUACUAUCCUAUAUCUCUUGUAGGACGGAAGGGGGUUAACUGUGGGCAGGUCCCGAAUUAUUGUAACGACAGCCCGGUGUGCCUUCCACUCGACCAGAUAGCCACUUUUCUUUUUUUUAAGUACAUAAUGUUUAUACAUGUUAUAAAGAAUCAGGUAAGCAAAACGUUUUAUCUGUUCUAAAA